rnacentral:rRNA from 1 species
UACAGAGGGCUCAAGCGUUGUUCGGAUUCAUUGGGCGUAAAGAGCGUGUAGGCGGCCAGAUAAGUCCGCUGUGAAAUCUCGAGGCUCAACUUCGAGCUGUCGGUGGAAACUAUCUGGCUAGAGUCCGGAAGAGGAGAAUGGAAUUCCUGGUGUAGCGGUGAAAUGCGCAGAUAUCAGGAAGAACACCCGUGGCGAAGGCGGUUCUCUGGGACGGUACUGACGCUGAGACGCGAAAGCGUGGGGAGCGAACAGG